GGAGAAUGGCGUGAUGUCUCACAGAAAGUUCUCUGCUCCCAGACAUGGGUCCCUCGGCUUCCUGCCUUGGAAGCGCAGCAGCAGGCAUCGUGGGAAGGUUAAGAGGUUCCCUAAGGAUGACCCGUCUAAGCCGGUCCACCUCACAGCCUUCCUGGGAUACAAGGCUGGCAUGACCCACAUCGUGCGGGAAGUCGACAGGCCAGGAUCUACAAGAAGGUGAACAAGAAGGAGGUGGUGGAGGCUGUAACCAUUGUGGAGAUGCCACCCAUGGUGGUUGUGGGCAUUGCAGGCUACGUGGAAACCCCUCGAGGCCUCCGAACCUUCAAGACUGUCUUCGCUGAGCACAUCGGUGAUGAAUGCAAGAGGCGUUUCUAUAAGAACUGGCAUAAAUCUAAGAAGAAGGCCUUUACCAAGUACUGCAAGAAAUGGCAGGAUGAGGAUGGCAAGAAGCAGCUGGAGAAGGACUUCAGCAGCAUGAAGAAGUACUGCCAAGUCAUCCGUGGGUUCCUAACCCACAGGCUCUAUCCACUAAUGGGAAAAGGUAAAACCCAGGAAACCAGAGAGCAGCGCCCUGAAACCUGGCGGGACUGGCCGAAUGUCAGAUUAGCCCGAGCAGCUACACUGAACGCUGGGGAAGAUGCACCAGAAUACCGCAGUAGGAGCCAGAUUUCCAAAGGAAGAAAGCUAGGCCCUAGGACUGUGGAGAUUCUGUAG